rnacentral:rRNA from 1 species
CGCUGGCGGCGUGCCUAACACAUGCAAGUCGAACGGGGAUUUGUUUCGGCAGAAUCCUAGUGGCGAACGGGUGAGUAACGCGUAGGCAACCUGCCCUCCGGCCGGGGACAACACUCCGAAAGGGGUGCUAAUACCGGAUACGAAGUCUGUGCCGCAUGGUACGGAUUUGAAAGAUGGCCUCUAUUUAUAAGCUAUCGCCGGGGGAUGGGCCUGCGUCCGAUUAGCUGGUUGGUGGGGUAACGGCCUACCAAGGCGACGAUCGGUAGCCGGUCUGAGAGGAUGAACGGCCACAUUGGGACUGAGACACGGCCCAGACUCCUACGGGAGGCAGCAGUGGGGAAUCUUCCGCAAUGGGCGCAAGCCUGACGGAGCAACGCCGCCGUGAGUGAGGAAGUUCUUCGGAACGUAAAGCUCUGUUGUUCCUGACGAACCUCCCCUUUAUCAACAACGGAGGGGACUGACGGUAGGGAACGAGGAAGCCACGGCUAACUACGUGCCAGCCGCCGC